rfam:Xenopus tropicalis strain Nigerian Chr05_contig_1350, whole genome shotgun sequence.
UUUGACUCAACACUGGAAACUUACCUGGCCCGGACAUGAAAAGAAUUGACAGAUUGAUUUUGUGGGUGGUGGUGCAUGCUAUUCUUGGUGGAGUGAUUUGUCUGGGUAAUUUUGAUAAGGAAACUCCUCCAUGUUAACUAGUUGUCAGACCCCCAGCAGUCGGUGUCCAACUUCUUAAAGUGACAAUUGGUCUUCAGCCAUACGCGAUCGAGCAAUAAUAGGUCUGUGAUGCCCUGAACGGAUUAGC